ACGAGAACCAGGAAGCUUGCUUCCUGGGGACAGUGGCGAACGGGUGAGUAACACGUGAGUAAUCUGCCCUCGAGUGGGGAAUAACUUCGCGAAAGUGGAGAUAAUACCGCAUAAUACUCUGUAGCAUAAGCUUUCAGAGUCAAAGCCCUUCGGGGCGCUUGAGGAUGAGCUCGCGGCCUAUUAGCUUGUUGGUAGGGUAACGGCCUACCAAGGCUCCGAUGGGUAGCCGGCCUGAGAGGGUGUACGGCCACACUGGAACUGCGACACGGUCCAGACUCCUACGGGAGGCAGCAGGGAGGAAUUUUGCGCAAUGGGCGAAAGCCUGACGCAGCGACGCCGCGUGGAGGAUUAAGGCCUUCGGGUUGUAAACUCCUGUCAGAGGUGAAGAAAGUCUCUUCGGAGGCCUGACGGUAACCUCAGAGGAAGCCCCGGCUAACUACGUGCCAGCAGCCGCGGUAAUACGUAGGGGGCAAACGUUGCUCGGAAUUACUGGGCGUAAAGGGUGUGUAGGUGGCUGUGCAAGUCAUUGAUGAAAUCCCGAGGCUCAACCUCGGAAUUGUCUCUGAAACUGCACAGCUUGAGGAUAUUUGAGGAAAACGGAAUUCCCGGUGGAGCGGUGAAAUGCGUAGAUAUCGGGAGGAACACCAGAGGCGAAGGCGGUUUUCUAGAAUAUUCCUGACACUGAGACACGAAAGCCAGGGGAGCGAACGGGAUUAGAUACCCCGGUAGUCCUAGCUGUAAACGAUGGGUACUAGAUGUUUCCGUGUUAUGCGGGAGUGUCGAAGUUAACGCGUUAAGUAC
rnacentral:rRNA from 1 species